rnacentral:rRNA from 1 species
UACAGAGACUGCAAGCGUUAUUCGGAUUCACUGGGCGUAAAGGGUGCGCAGGCGGUUGGGUGUGUCAGAUGUGAAAUCCCGAGGCUUAACCUCGGAACUGCGUCUGAAACUACUCGACUAGAGUACUGGAGAGGGAAACGGAAUUCACGGUGUAGCAGUGAAAUGCGUAGAUAUCGUAAGGAAGACCAGUGGCGAAGGCGAGUCUCUGGACAGCAACUGACGCUGAGGCACGAAGGCCAGGGGAGCAAACGGG